rnacentral:rRNA from 1 species
GAAGAACGCUGGCGGCGUGCCUAAUACAUGCAAGUCGAGCGAACAGACGAGGAGCUUGCUCCUCUGACGUUAGCGGCGGACGGGUGAGUAACACGUGGAUAACCUACCUAUAAGACUGGGAUAACUUCGGGAAACCGGAGCUAAUACCGGAUAAUAUAUUGAACCGCAUGGUUCAAUAGUGAAAGACGGUUUUGCUGUCACUUAUAGAUGGAUCCGCGCCGCAUUAGCUAGUUGGUAAGGUAACGGCUUACCAAGGCAACGAUGCGUAGCCGACCUGAGAGGGUGAUCGGCCACACUGGAACUGAGACACGGUCCAGACUCCUACGGGAGGCAGCAGUAGGGAAUCUUCCGCAAUGGGCGAAAGCCUGACGGAGCAACGCCGCGUGAGUGAUGAAGGUCUUCGGAUCGUAAAACUCUGUUAUUAGGGAAGAACAAAUGUGUAAGUAACUAUGCACGUCUUGACGGUACCUAAUCAGAAAGCCACGGCUAACUACGUG